UAGAUGUUUCUAGGGUUUUAC
rnacentral:siRNA from 1 species